CAGCAGCCACGGGAAUACGAGGGGGACAAGCGUUGUCCGGAAUUAUUGGGCGUAAAGGGCUCGCAGGCGGUUUCUUAAGUCUGAUGUGAAAGCCCCCGGCUCAACCGGGGAGGGUCAUUGGAAACUGGGAAACUUGAGUGCAGAAGAGGAGAGUGGAAUUCCACGUGUAGCGGUGAAAUGCGUAGAGAUGUGGAGGAACACCAGUGGCGAAGGCGACUCUCUGGUCUGUAACUGACGCUGAGGAGCGAAAGCGUGGGGAGCGAACAGGAUUAGAUACCCGUGUAGUCCCUGUCUCUUAUAC
rnacentral:rRNA from 1 species